AUGGCGCCGCCCCAGGAGGGGGAGCAGUGCGGGCGGCCGGCCAGCAGCGUGUUGAUUUGGGUGGUGACGGUGCUGCUGCUCCUCGCCGUGCUCGGCGGCGGCGGGUGCCUCGUGGCCUACGUCCUGCUGCCGCCGAGCGAGGCGCCCGGAUGGAUCCCCUGCGUCGGCCUGGGCCUCGUGGCGCUCCCCUGGGCGUUCUGGCUCGCCACCGUCGCCUACCGGUGCAUCACGGCGCGCUCGGCCGACCGCGCCGUGGCGCCCGCGGCCGCCGGCAGCUAA
rnacentral:rRNA from 1 species